AGUGAACGCUGGCGGUAGGCCUAACACAUGCAAGUCGAACGGCAGCACAGUAAGAGCUUGCUCUUACGGGUGGCGAGUGGCGGACGGGUGAGGAAUACAUCGAAAUCUACUUUUUCGUGGGGGAUAACGUAGGGAAACUUACGCUAAUACCGCAUACGACCUACGUGUGAAAGCAGGGGAUCUUCGGACCUUGCGCGAUUGAAUGAGCCGAUGUCGGAUUAGCUAGUUGGCGGGGUAAAGGCCCACCAAGGCGACGAUCCGUAGCUGGUCUGAGAGGAUGAUCAGCCACACUGGAACUGAGACACGGUCCAGACUCCUACGGGAGGCAGCAGUGGGGAAUAUUGGACAAUGGGCGCAAGCCUGAUCCAGCCAUACCGCGUGGGUGAAGAAGGCCUUCGGGUUGUAAAGCCCUUUUGUUGGGAAAGAAAAGCAGCAGGUUAAUACCCCGCUGUUCUGACGGUACCCAAAGAAUAAGCACCGGCUAACUUCGUG
rnacentral:rRNA from 1 species